UACGUAGGGGGGCAAGCGUUGUCCGGAAUCAUUGGGCGUAAAGCGCGUGUAGGCGGCCCGGUAAGUCCGCUGUGAAAGUCGGGGGCUCAACCCUCGAAUGCCGGUGGAUACUGUCGGGCUAGAGUGCGGAAGAGGCGAGUGGAAUUCCUGGUGUAGCGGUGAAAUGCGCAGAUAUCAGGAGGAACACCAAUUGCGAAGGCAGCUCGCUGGGACGUGACUGACGCUGAGACGCGAAAGCGUGGGGAGGCAAACAGG
rnacentral:rRNA from 1 species